UGGGGAAUAUUGGACAAUGGGCGAAAGCCUGAUCCAGCCAUGCCGCGUGUGUGAAGAAGGUCUUCGGAUUGUAAAGCACUUUAAGUUGGGAGGAAGGGCAGUAAGCGAAUACCUUGCUGUUUUGACGUUACCGACAGAAUAAGCACCGGCUAACUCUGUGCCAGCAGCCGCGGUAAUACAGAGGGUGCAAGCGUUAAUCGGAAUUACUGGGCGUAAAGCGCGCGUAGGUGGUUCGUUAAGUUGAAUGUGAAAGCCCCGGGCUCAACCUGGGAACUGCAUCCACAACUGGCGAGCUAGAGUAGGGCAGAGGGUGGUGGAAUUUCCUGUGUAGCGGUGAAAUGCGUAGAUAUAGGAAGGAACACCAGUGGCGAAGGCGAGCACCUGGGCUCAUACUGACACUGAGGUGCGAAAGCGUGGGGAGCAAACAGG
rnacentral:rRNA from 1 species